rnacentral:rRNA from 1 species
GAGCGGCGAACGGGUGAGUAAUGCUUCGGAAUCUACCCUCUAGUGGGGAAUAACCAGCCGAAGGGUUGGCUAAUACCGCAUACGUCACGGGAGAAAGCAGGGGAUCGUAAGACCUUGCGCUGAUGGAUGAGCCGAAGUCGGAUUAGCUAGUUGGUGAGGUAACGGCUCACCAAGGCGACGAUCCGUAGCUGGUCUGAGAGGACGACCAGCCACACUGGGACUGAGACACGGCCCAGACUCCUACGGGAGGCAGCAGUGGGGAAUAUUGGACAAUGGGGGCAACCCUGAUCCAGCGACGCCGCGUGUGUGAAGAAGGCCUGCGGGUUGUAAAGCACUUUUAGUGGGGAUGAAAUGUGCAGGGUUAAUACCUCUGCAUUUUGACCUAACCCACAGAAAAAGCACCGGCUAACUCUGUGCCAGCAGCCGCGGUAAUACAGAGGGUGCAAGCGUUAAUCGGAAUUACUGGGCGUAAAGCGUGCGCAGACGGUUAUAUAAGUCGGGUGUGAAAGCCCCGGGCUCAACCUGGGAAUUGCAUUCGAGACUGUGUAGCUAGGGUACGGAAGAGGGAAGCGGAAUUUCAGGUGUAGCGGUGAAAUGCGUAGAUAUCUGAAGGAACACCAGUGGCGAAAGCGGCUUCCUGGUCCAGUAC